UACGAAGGGGGCUAGCGUUGUUCGGAAUUACUGGGCGUAAAGCGCGCGUAGGCGGUGAUCUUUGUCAGAGGUGAAAGCCCGGGGCUCAACUCCGGAAUUGCCUUUGAAACGGGAUCGCUUGAGUCCGAGAGAGGAUGGCGGAAUUCCUAGUGUAGAGGUGAAAUUCGUAGAUAUUAGGAAGAACACCGGUGGCGAAGGCGGCCAUCUGGCUCGGUACUGACGCUCAGGUGCGAAAGCGUGGGGAGCAAACAGG
rnacentral:rRNA from 1 species